CAGCCCGUAUUUUAAGGAAAAAAAAGCACACUGUGCCUAGUAUAUCCAACUCAACAAAUAUGAAACCCCAGGUGAAGAACAACCCAGGUCCCCUCACACCCAGAAAAAUCCCGUCCAAAACCAUCGCCUCCUCCUCCUCCUCCUCCUUCCCCUCAAGUCCAGAAAAAUCAUCUUCAAAGCCUACGAUUUCAGCCAACGCUUUUGUUCUUCUUCGACGGCGACGCUCCCUCCACUUCGCCGCUGUUCAAGUCAUAUCGGUCCACUAUUCAAUCUCAGCCUCAACCUCGACGCUGCCCAACAACUCUUUGUUCCUUGCGGAAGCAAUUCGGUCCGUUUUGCAGGCAUUGUCAGAAGCCUAUUCUAUAUUGGAGAGUGAGCUGACAUUCCUUCCUGAUGAUGCUGAUGCAGGUUCAAGGCCACCAUACACACUGCUUUCUAAAUCAUCCCAAGUAUUAAUUCAUGACAGGGAAUUUAAUUGUUGGCAGAUUUUACAUCUGUUUGGAGGGCUUUUUAUUUAGGAUUUGGCUCGACAAUAAGAGAGCUGUCUAUGUCAGUCUCCUUGAAUUGAUAUGUGGAGUCCUUGUUGUGACGCAUAAGCUGCACCAAGUGAGGAUGGAUACAUUCCAUCAAGGCUAACUAGGCAUGCAAUGGACCAUAGGAUCAUACUACAGCUGUUGUUUUCAUCAGAAAAAGAUCUCGCAGUUUCACUGUGCUACUGUGGAUGGAGUUCAUUAUAACACUGCUGCCACUUGCUUGGGUAAUUGGGAACUUUGUGGCUUUCUCUACCGCCUAGAUUUUGAGGCUGGUAGGAUGGAAAAUGAGAGAUGAAAAGAAAAUGGCCAUCGCAGAACAUGAAGACCUCUGUAUUUGUUAUUAGUGAUUAGUGAUUACAGACUUUAGCUUUUGAUUCUUCAUGUACAUGUUUUGGUUUUCAGUUGAAUCCUCAGUUACAGGUAAGGUUCCGUCAUGUGGGAAAUCAGAGGGAUUGGGUUCUGCUAUUGUGGAUGCAAAUUGUAUUCAUGGAAGAAAGUUAGAUUGACAUUAUACCCAUCAGAUUCCUCACUUCCAAGAGUCCUCCAAUUGAGUCAAACUGCCAUGAGAAUGAAUUCAUUGAUUUGCGCUUUAUGAGAAGCAAUAAUGACAUUUGUAUUUGUGCAGAUAGUAUUACAAUACAUGAUAAGAAGGGUGAAGACAACAGAUUGAGAAAAAUAUAUCAAAGGAAUGGUGAUCGUUACAUUCAAAUCCAUAUUCUCAUGUAUCUA